AGUGGGGCGAUAAGUGAACCUCUCUCUAUUUAAUUUUUAAAGAUUCUUUUGUUUCAGGUAUUGUACCAAAGGAUUGGAGGAAGGCAGAUGUCGUUGCUAUGUUUAAAAAGGGUUCAAAAUCCUUGCCUGGAAAUUAUAGACCUGUGAGCUUAACUUCUGUGACUGGGAAAAUAUUAAUUAAAUAUUAAGGGAUAAUAUUCAGGAAUUCAUUGGGAAGAACUUUGUUAUUAGAAGGGAGGUCGGCAGAAAAAGUGUCCGUUUUCAGUUCCGUGAAAUCAAUGCCGAACACCGCUGGUCUUUCGCAUGGUUUGAAAUGGCCGCCGCCUCGUGGUCGACGUACGAACAAUGACCACCCUGUAUUCGGUUUUCAUUGAGAAGUGUCUGCGGUUAACCACAAUGUUCUAAUUGGGAUCAAGAGGUUAACCAGCAGCACACUUCUCUUCUGGGUGGCCGUCCGUUCUGUAGUUUUGUUUGGCGGAAGAGUCAAUUCACUGAACAGCGGCAUACGAACGGGUAAUUCCACGAAAAGGCAAAACAGACGAACCAGCAAUCCCAGUCUAUACAGAUGGAUCUGUCACAGGGCUAUUAAGGGAUAAUAUUCAGGAAUUCAUUGGGAAGAACUUUGUUAUUAGCAAUAAUCAGCAUGGUUUUAUGAAACAUAGGUCAUGUCAAACUAACCUAAUUGCAUUCUACGAAGAAGUAAGUAGAAGUAUAGACCAGGGUGUUACAGUGGAUGUGAUCUACUUGGAUUUUGCCAAGGCAUUUGAUACGGUUCCUC